rnacentral:lncRNA from 1 species
GAACCUCACCUGUCUUGAAUAACACUUGCUGUUUACUGAGAAGUAGCCCUGCUCAUUUCUCUUUGGCGUUCUCUCUGGCCACCAGGUUUUCUGGGACUUGGUCUUUAUUUUAAACAGUUUGUAGAUAGAGACGAUGGAAUUUUGAAGUUAAUAGAAAGAAGCUGCAGUGACACUAUUAAUCCAAGAAAAAGUCUGCCAAACCUUACUUUACACUUUGAGAAAAUGUUUUGCUUGUUUUCAGUCUGGCCUCAUCACAGUCAUUUUGAACACACACACACACACACACACACAUACACUGUAGUGGGUUGAAUGGUGGCCCCUCAAAAGAUACAUUCACCUGGAACUUGUGAAUGUGACUCUAUUUAGAAAAAUGGUUUUUGCAGAUCUAAUAAGGAUCCUGAAAUGAGAUCAACCUGGAUUAUCCAGGUGGGCCCUAUAGCUAAUGACAAGUGUAGUAUAAGAGACAAGAGAAGACACGGGAGGGCAGAAGGCAAUGUGAAGACAGAGGCAAAGACUGGAGUGAUGCAACUGCAAGCCAAAGAAUCCCUGGAGCUGUCAGAGAUUGGAAGAGGCGAGGAAGCUUCUCCCCUGAGUCUUCAGAGGGAGCACAAGCCUGCCGACACGGUGAUUUUGGACUUCUGGCCUCCAGAACGAUGGGUGCAGGACACACUUGGCGCAUCGAGCUAUUGCCGCCUACUCUGUUGGGCCUGUCUCAUCUUACAAGGCUGGGGAGUCGGCUUUGUAAUAGAUUUUUGGCAUGGUGGAUCCCGUAGCAGACUCGAGGAGAAAGGGGCUGCUCUUUCCCUGUGUGAGGAAGGCUGGAGCUACUUCGUAUACUACUGGGAUUCCCUUUCAAGGAAUAUCUUGGACUAAACUGUCUUUUUCCUGAUGGAUUACGUUUUGGAUCAUCCUUUACCAAGAAUAUAAUCAUGGGCUGUUAACAUUUUUUUGGACAUUCAUUUGGCUGGUAACUGCAGUGUUUUGGGAAACCUGUUUUCGUUUAAUUUCAUUUCCUUUUUCCUGUUAAGCGCAUCAUUGGGCUAAAAGAGGAGAACCUCAGAUUUUUGGAAGUCUUUGUGUUUUGUGCUGCUUCUCAAUUCAUAUUGGAUACCAGAGGAGGAAAGAAUUGGAACGCUCUCAUGACUUCUGUGGUUCCCUCCCCUGGAAAGCCAGAAUCCACACCCCGACCUGCCUUAGGUGGUUAGCACUAACAUUGAAACAAUAGUCAUUUAAUACUAUCAUAACAUUACAUAAGUCAUUUCCUCCCUUCUAGAACGUGGAGGGAUAUGUGAGAAGCAAAGAAAAAUCUGUGACCCUUCUACUCAGAUUUUCCACAGGCCUCCAAUUACCCUUUCAUCUGUACCAAAAUAUGGAGGGUGAUGUUAAAAACUUGUGUGAGAAUCUGGCAGAGUUUUGUACGUUAAUGUUGUCUCUGGUCUGGUUUCUAAAACCAUUCUGGUAAUUUGGAAGAUUUGCCAGCAAGAGCCAAUUGUUCAACAGGAACUGUCAGUUUAAUUCGUAGACGGUAGCUCUCUGUGCUUGGUUUGGUGCUGGUUUUAAAGAAUACAAAACACGCACAGCAGGAUUCCUGCUUACUCCUUUUUGGCAAAUGUGUUUGGCAUCCACAUGACAAAUAAAUUAGUAGGAUCUGUAGAAAACACAGGAAUUUUAUGAUACAAGAGAAACAUGAUGGAAAGGAAUGGAAAAAAGUCUUAGGGAGUGAAAUUCACUCUCAGACAUAACCUUGUGGAUCUGAUGGGAGAUAGCUUUUCCUUUGCCACCAAACAACAGGUAAAAUAGACUGAUUUCAUUUAUUCAUUCAUCUAACAAUGAUCUGUUGAGCACCUACCAUGUGACAGCAUUAUUCUUAAACUAAUGAUAUAAAAGUGAGUAAAACAAACUACUGAUCUCAUGAAAUUUUGUCAGUGAAAUCACAUAAUAGUGAAGCUGUGUUCAAUUUUAAUAGAAACAUGUUAUUGUCUCUAAGCU